rnacentral:rRNA from 1 species
AACGAACGCUGGCGGCAGGCCUAACACAUGCAAGUCGAGCGAGGACUUCGGUCCUAGCGGCGGACGGGGGAGUAACGCGUGGGAACGUGCACUUUGCGUCGGAAUAGCCCUGGGAAACUGGGAGUAAUACCGGAUGAGCCCUUAGGGGGAAAGAUUUAUCGGCGAAGGAGCGGCACGAGUUGGAGUAGGUAGUUGGUGGGGUAAUGGCCUACCAAGCCGACAAUCACUAGCUGGUUUGGGAGGAGGAUCAGCCACACUGGGACUGAGACACGGCCCAGACUCCUCCGGGAGGCAGGAGUGGGUAAUCUUGGACCGUCGCGUAAAUCCUGAUCUAGCCAUGCUGCUUGAGCGAUGAAGGCCUUAGGGUUGUAAAGCUCUUUCAGCUGGGAAGAUAAUGACGGUACCUGCAGAAGAAGCCCCGGCUAACUCCGUG